GAUGAACGCUGGCGGCGUGCCUAAUACAUGCAAGUCGAGCGAAUGGAUUAAGAGCUUGCUCUUAUGAAGUUAGCGGCGGACGGGUGAGUAACACGUGGGUAACCUGCCCAUAAGACUGGGAUAACUCCGGGAAACCGGGGCUAAUACCGGAUAACAUUUUGAACCGCAUGGUUCGAACUUGAAAGGCGGCUUCGGCUGUCACUUAUGGAUGGACCCGCGUGGCAUUAGCUAGUUGGUGAGGUAACGGCUCACCAAGGCAACGAUUCGUAGCCGACCUGAGAUGGUGAUCGGCCAAACUGGGACUGAGACACGGCCCAGACUCCUUCGGGAGGCAGCAGUAGGGAAUCUUCCGCGAUAGACGAAAGUCUGACGGAGCAACGCCGCGUGAGUGAUGAAGGCUUUCGGGUCGUAAAACUCUGUUGUUAGGGAAGAACAAGUGCUAGUUGAAUAAGCUGGCACCUUGACGGUACCUAACCAGAAAGCCACGGCUAACUACGUGCCAGCAGCCGCAGUAA
rnacentral:rRNA from 1 species